AGGCGCGUAACUCAGUUGGUUAGAGUGCCACCAUGACAUGGUGGAAGUCCUCGGUUCGAGUCCGAGCGUGCCUACCA
rnacentral:tRNA from 1 species